GGUGGGGUCGCAUAGUGGUCUAGUGCGCUCGCUUGGAAAGCGAGUAAGGCGUUAAAACCUUCGCGAGUUCGAAUCUCGCCCCCACCG
rnacentral:tRNA from 1 species